UUUGCGGCCACAUGGCUUUGAGAUCGAGCCGCUCCUGCAACGGUUUUAGACCCCAAUGAGGCCAUACGGAGCAGUGCUGCCAUCAUGUCAACUCCGUCUGACCACCGACCACCAAUUGUACGGGAUUUCAGCUGAGAAAGGUGGACAGACCACACCCUGAAGAAGCCCACUAUAUCCAUUACUACAACUGCACGAGACUAGAACCAUUAAUGGAAAAGGAACAGGGAUGUCAGCAAAGACCUAGCAACAGCCAACACCUCAUGGAAAGAGGUGAAGAAAACUAACUACAGGUGACCGGAAGCAGUGGAUCCGGAGGUACUUCACCGAGGCUCUUGCUCCCCUUGCUCUUGCUCCCUGAUGGAGGGACUUCCUGAUUCUGGUACUGAAGAGGACUGAGUGAGUACCACCAUUGCUGUAGAGGCCAGGGAUACCCGGGAGCAUUUGAUUGAGUGAUAGACACAACCCCUGACAGCAGCCCAAGAUAGGAAGACCUGGCUACACCUCUGCAAAGUCUGCCUUGUCCCCCUGGUGACCAGUGUCGGUUAUGGAACUAGGUGCUACUUUAGCAGAAGGCUGUCAGUUCCAUUGUCCAUUGUACUCUGCUAGCAACUGAGAUGCAAGCUGAUACACCACUUAUCACUGUUCCCGGCCUCUCUGGAAUGACAGCCACUUCAAAUAUGCAGGGCCUAAGACUGACAAGUCCCUGUGCUACCAGAUAAAUCCUGAUUUAUGAUUGAAAAUGUACCUUUAGUCAUUACUUUAUGAUAUUACAGGUCAUUCUUUUAACUGGUAUGUAAUUAUGCAUCAAAUUGUAUUUUGGGCCUGACAGAUAUUGCAUAUUAUUCAUUAAUGUGUUUUUUGGAAAUAUUGUAAAGACCAAGAGGCAAUAUAUGUACAUGUAUGUCUUAUUUUCCAUAUACAGUACUAUUGACAGCUGUGUGAAAUGC